rnacentral:rRNA from 1 species
UGAGUACGAGAUGCUACGGCAUCGAAGCAGUCUAUGUCAUACUUCCAAGAAAAGCUUGCAAUGUCAUAAACAAAUAAUGCCUGUACCAUAACCGACACAGGUGGGUAGGUAGAGUAUACUAAGGGGCGCGAGAUAACUCUCUCUAAGGAACUCGGCAAAAUGACUCCGUAACUUCGGGAGAAGGAGUGCCUUAUUUUUAUAAGGUUGCAAUAACAAGAUCCAAGCAACUGUUUACCAAAAACACAGGUCUCCGCUAAGUCGUAAGACGAUGUAUGGGGGCUGACGCCUGCCCAGUGCCAGAAGGUUAAAGAAGUUGGUUAGCAUUAGCGAAGCUGAUAACUGAAGCCCUGGUGAACGGCGGCCGUAACGAUAACGGUCCUAAGGUAGCGAAAUUCCUUGUCGGGUAAGUUCCGACCCGCACGUAAGGCGUAAUGAUUUGGAUACUGUCUCGGAGAGGGGCUCGGUGAAAUAGACUUGUCUGUGAAGAUGCGGACUACCUGCACCUGGACAGAAAGACCCUAUGAAGCUUUACUGUAACUUGAGAUUGAAAUUGGACUUUAUCUGCGCAGUAUAGGUGGGAGACGUUGAAAAUAUUCUUGCGGGAAUAUUGGAGUCAUCAGUGAGAUACCACUCUUAUAAUGUUAGAUUUCUAACUUUGUAUCAUUAUCUGGUCAAAGAACAGUUUCAGGCGGGCAGUUUGACUGGGGCGGUCGCCUCCCAAACGGUAACGGAGGCGCACAAAGGUUUCCUCUGAACGUGUAGAAAUCGUAUCUAGAGUGUAAAGGCAUAAGGAAGCUUGACUGUGAGACCUACAAGUCGAGCAGGGACGAAAGUCGGUCUUAGUGAUCUGACGGUGCUGAGUGGAAAGGCCGUCACUCAACGGAUAAAAGUUACUCUAAGGAUAACAGGCUGAUCUCCCCCAAGAGUUCACAUCGACGGGGAGGUUUGGCACCUCGAUGUCGGCUCAUCGCAUCCUGGGGCGGUAGUACGUCCCAAGGGUUGGGCUGUUCGCCCAUGAAAGCGGUACGCGAGCUGGGUUCAGAACGUCGUGAGACAGUUCGGUCCAUAUCCGGUGUAGGCGUUAGAAUAUUGAGAGGAGCCUUCUUUAGUACGAGAGGACCGAGAAGGACAUACCUCUGGUGUACCAGUUGUCGUGCCAACGGUAAACGCUGGGUAGCCAUGUAUGGAGAGGAUAACCGCUGAAAGCAUCUAAGUGGGAAGCCCACCUCAAGAUAAG